rnacentral:lncRNA from 1 species
GAACAAGCAACAUCUACUAAGCUAAAGGUGCCCUCUUGGCUCCCAGCCAAGAGAGGAGAAAGGGACUAUCUUCUUAUAAGAUAGAAUCCAAAUGUAUAUUACUUCACUAAGCUUUAAGUCUGCCUUCUGGGAUCUAAUUGUGAACAGAAUGUAAGUAAACUCUUUUUAUACUUUUGUAAAAGACUGUGUCGUGUCUUCUAUUUUAAGUGGGAAUAAAGGGGAAAUUACCAGUAUAGUUAUUAUAAAGGUUCUAGCGAACCUGAGCAAAUGCUGCUGUUGCAAACUUAAAAUAAAGCGGAAUGUUUUACUCUGCUGAUAUUGGGAACUUGUUAGCACAAGUUGGAUAAGGAUAUAAUCAGUCAAUAUAUCCUCUCCUGCAUCCCUGAACAUUCCCACAGUAGAGACCAAACUGGGAACAAAUAGCUGUUCUGUGUUUCUUAUGGAUUCAGCUGUGGCCCAAAGAGAUGGUCUGAUAUAAAUCUAGGAGCACAGGAAUCGGCCAGGUACUGACUCAGACCAUUGGGUCCUUUGUAACUCAACUGCCUGUACUGUCUAUGACUUUGCAGGGCUUCAGAUGGGGACACUGGAAAGGUUAGAGAGCAAUCCUAGGACCUUCUGCAUUCAGUGUAUGUACCAUUCCACUGAGCUAUGGGCUUUCCCUAAAGGCAAGGAUGGCGCACAAAGCACGGCUGGCCAUCAGCCAUGGCUUGGGGAAGGAGAUGGGUUAUGGCAAGGGGAUUUCACGAGGGCCAUCUACAGGGGCUUGGACACAUUUGCCCCACUGGUCUGUUCUGUUCAAGCACCCUACAGGGGCCACUAGAUGCUAAUAGUAAUCCCAGCAGCAGGACAUAACAGCAACAGAUGUCUACCUGGCAGCCAGUCCCACUGGUGUAUACAGGCCAAGGACAGAGGCUAACAAUAGAAGUCCAACAGUUCAGGAAACACGGUCCAGGUUCAAUACAGCAAGCCAAGUCCAACUUCCAACAGUCAGGCCAGGUUCCCACCUCUGUAGCCAAUUCAGGAUCAGGGAACCUGGGGUUCAGUCCCCAAAAGCAGGCUUGUGGAGCUCCUAGGGCACCCAAGCUGUGGUCCAUCAACAUGGGAAGUUGAGCAGACACAGCACCUCAGCUCUGCUUCCUUUUUAUCCCUUGAAUCUUGAUUGCAGCACCUGGGUUUGAAGGGGCAUGUGACCCCCACCUGUCCGGAGCCUAAUGCAGCUGAGGAAUCCCACACCUCCUCCCAGAGCUAAUAAGCCCCAACUGGCCAACUAGUGAGCUAGGCUGCGGGUUCUUGCCUGUCUCAGCCUCCUAGAAUGCACCUUCCGUUGCCCCUGAUGCCUCAGAGCCCACCAUGCUUAUGAAGACAGGGCCUCCUCUGGCUCCUGAAGGAAUGUCUCCACCCCCAUCGUUCUGCCUGGACACUGAGGUCCAGUGCUGAGGGCCUUCUGGUGGUUCCCUCACUGCGAGAAGCAAAGCUACAGGGAACCAGGCAGAGGGCCUUCUCAGUAGUGGUGCCCGCCCUGUGGAAUGCCCUCCCAUCAGAUGUCAAAGAAAUAAACAACUAUCUGACAUUUAGAAGAUAUCUAAAGGCAGCCCUGUUUAGGGAAGUUUUAAUGUCUGAUGUUUUAAUAUAUUUUUAAUCUUUUGUUGGGCGGGGUAUAAAUAAUAAAUAAUAAUUAUUAUUAUUAUUAUUAUUAUUAUUAUUAUUAUUAUUAUUAUGGUCUUGCCCCUCUGUUUCCUGUGCACUGACUCCCCCCCUCCCCUCACCAUCCCCUCACUGAGUUAGACCUACUGACCUGGUGUAAUUCUUAUAGGAAACCAGUAUCUGACUUAAAUCCAAAUUCUCCAAAGUAAUGAAGACUGAUGUUUUGUUUAGUGCUGUCCAACAGUGACUUUUCUUGCACUUUAGCAGAAAACUGGCUUGUGUCCCAAAGGAUCCACGAGCCAAGACGUACAUUUCUGUCUCUUAUUCAGAAAGUCCUGGUUCUUGAACAUUAGAUAUGUGGUUCUCUGGUUGACAUUUCUUCCAUAGUCCCACACUUCUGACUCAACUCAGGAAAUCUACUGUAUUUCAUGUCAUGCUUUGAUUAAUAACGGGUGAAUUCGCCUUGACUGAGUCAAUUCAGAAUUGACUCAGUAUUUAUUUAUAAGCUUUCUUGGAACAACUCCCCUGUUUCUGACUGGGUUGACAUGCCUACUCAAAAGCAAGGUCCACUGAGCUGAAUGGGAUUUACUUCCGGGUAAUAUAGAAUUGCAGCCUUAGCGUUCUCUCCUGGCUUGCAGUGUUGACACAGGUGUGCUCAUAGGAUGAAGAAAGGCUGCAGCAUUUGGGACUUUUUAGUUCAGAGAAAAGGCGAGUGAGAGGGGACACAAUACAGUGGUACCUUGAUUUUCGAACAUAAUCCAUUUUGGAAGACUGUUCAAGUCCCAAAACGUUCAAAAACUGAAAAUUCAAUACGGAAAAUUCAAUACCGAAGCCAUGUUUCCGGUUUGACUUUCGAGGCGCGUUCGAAAACUGAAGCAUUUACUUCCGGGUUCGAAAACCAAAAUGUCCGUCAACAGAGAUGUUCGAAAAGCGAGGGAUCACUGUAGAAGUUUAUAAAAUUAUGCAUGGCAUUGAGAAGGUGGAUAGUAAUUUUCUCUCUCUUAACUCACAGACAUCCAAUGAAGCUGAAUGUUGGAAGAUUUAGGACAGAUAAAAGAAAGUACUUCUUCACGCAAUGCAUAGUUAAACUCUGGAAUUCACUCUUCCUGGAGGCAGUGAUGGCCCCCAACUUGGAUGGCUUUAAAAGAGGAUUGGAUUGGAC